GGAUUAGAUACCCUGGUAGUCCACGCCGUAAACGAUGUGCACUAGAUCGGUGCGGGUCUGACCCCGUGCCGGUCGGAGAGAAAUUGUUAAGUGCACCGCCUGGGGAGUACGGUCGCAAGGCUAAAACUCAAAGGAAUUGACGGGGGCUCAUACAAGCGGUGGAGCAUGCUGCUUAAUUCGAAGCAACGCGAAGAACCUUACCAGGGUUUGACAUGCACGGAUUAGUUCUUGGAAACAUGAAUGACGCUCGCAAGAGUGGAACGUGCACAGGUGCUGCAUGGCUGUCGUCAGCUCGUGCCG
rnacentral:rRNA from 1 species